AGUGAACGCUGGCGGCAGGCCUAACACAUGCAAGUCGAGCGGACGAACGGUGCUUGCUCCUGGAUUCAGCGGCGGACGGGCGAGUAAUUCCUAGGUAUCUGCCUGGCAGCGGGGUAUAACGUCCGGACACGGGCGCUAAUACCGCAUACGCCCUGAGGGAGAACGUGGGGGAUCAUCGGACCUCCCGCUAUCAGAUGACCCUAGGUGGGAUUAGCUAGUUGGGUGGGUAAAGGCCUACCAAGGCGACGAUCCGUAGCUGGUCUGAGAGGAUGAUCAGUCACACUGGAACUGAGACACGGUCCAGACUCCUACGGGAGGCAGCAGUGGGGAAUAUUGGACAAUGGGCGAAAGCCUGAUCCAGCCAUGCCGCGUGUGUGAAGAAGGUCUUCGGAUUGUAAAGCACUUUAAGUUGGGAAGAAGAGCAGUAAGUUAAUACCUGGCUGUUUUGACGGUACCAAAAGAAUAAGCACCGGCUAACUUCGUG
rnacentral:rRNA from 1 species